rnacentral:rRNA from 1 species
GACGAACGCUGGCGGCGUGCCUAAUACAUGCAAGUAGAACGCAGUUGCGAACGGGUGAGUAACGCGUAGGUAACUGCCUCAUAGCGGGGGAUAACUAUUGGAAACGAUAGCUAAUACCGCAUACUGUGAGAUGGACCUGCGUUGUAUUAGCUAGUUGGUGGGGUAAAGGGUAACCAAGGCGACGAUACAUAGCCGACCUGAGAGGGUGAUAGCACAUAAGGGGAAUGAUAUACGGCCUAGACUCCUAAGGGAGGCAGCAGUAGGUAAGCUUCGGUAAUGGAAGGAAGUCUGACCGAGCAACUCGGGGUGAGUUAAGAAGGUUUUCGGAUCGUAAAGCUCUGUUGUUAGAGAAGCGGGAACUAAACAGAAAGGGACGGCUAACUAAGUGCCAGCAGCCGCGGUAAUUC